rnacentral:rRNA from 1 species
UACAGAGGGGGCAAGCGUUAUUCGGAAUUAUUGGGCGUAAAGGGCGCGUAGGCGGCUUUGCAAGUGACGGGUGAAAUCCCUCGGCUUAACCGAGGAACUGCCUGUCAGACUGCAUGGCUUGAGACCGGGAGAGGUGAGUGGAAUUCCCAGUGUAGCGGUGAAAUGCGUAGAUAUUGGGGAGGAACACCAGUGGCGAAGGCGGCUCACUGGACCGGUACUGACGCUGAGGCGCGAAAGCGUGGGGAGCGAACAGG